rnacentral:rRNA from 1 species
AUUGAACGCUGGCGGCAUGCCUUACACAUGCAAGUCGAACGGCAGCACGGGUGCUUGCACCUGGUGGCGAGUGGCGAACGGGUGAGUAAUACAUCGGAACAUGUCCUGUAGUGGGGGAUAGCCCGGCGAAAGCCGGAUUAAUACCGCAUACGAUCUACGGAUGAAAGCGGGGGACCUUCGGGCCUCGCGCUAUAGGGUUGGCCGAUGGCUGAUUAGCUAGUUGGUGGGGUAAAGGCCUACCAAGGCGACGAUCAGUAGCUGGUCUGAGAGGACGACCAGCCACAGGGGAACGGAGACACGGCCCAGACUCCUACGGGAGGCAGCAGUGGGGAAUUUGGGACAAUGGGCGAAAGCCUGACCGAGCAACGCCGCGGGUGUGAAGAGGGUGUUGGGGUGGAAAAGCAUUUUGACGAGGAAAGAAAUCCUGGCCCAGAAACGGUGCGGGGGUUGACGGUACCGAAAAAAAAAGCCACGGCUAACUACGUG